rnacentral:rRNA from 1 species
GAGCUGGGUUUAGAACGUCGUGAGACAGUUCGGUCCCUAUCCGCUGUGCGCGUAGGAAUAUUGAGAAGGGCUGUCCCUAGUACGAGAGGACCGGGACGGACGAACCUCUGGUGUGCCAGUUGUUCUGCCAAGGGCAUGGCUGGUUGGCUACGUUCGGGAGGGAUAACCGCUGAAAGCAUCUAAGCGGGAAGCCUGCUUCGAGAUGAGUAUUCCCACCUCCUUGAGAGGGUAAGGCUCCCAGUAGACGACUGGGUUGAUAGGCCGGAUAUGGAAGCACGGUAACGUGUGGAGUUGACCGGUACUAAUAGGCCGAGGGCUUGUCCUCAGUUG